GACAGAGGGUGCAAACGUUGUUCGGAAUUACUGGCGUAAAGGGCGCGUAGGCGGCGUGGUUAAGUCACUUGUGAAAUCUCUGAGCUUCGAACUCAGAACGGCCAAGUGAUACUGCUGUGCUAGAGUGGCAGAAGGGGCAAUCGGGAAUUCUUGGUGUAGCGGUGAAAUGCGUAGAUAUCAAGAGGAACACCUGAGGUGAAGACGGGUUGCUGGGCUGACACUGACGCUGAGGCGCGAAAGCCAGGGGAGGCAAACGGG
rnacentral:rRNA from 1 species